rfam:Endosymbiont of Tevnia jerichonana (vent Tica) TevJSymac, whole genome shotgun sequence.
GGGGGCGACACGGCUUUCGACGUGGGUUGCGAAACCUGAGGUGCAUGCCGAGGAACAGCAUACCUCGUAAAUCCAGCUGUACCACUAUAGUUGCCAACGACGACAACUACGCUCUCGCCGCUUAAUAACCGGUAGAAGCCAUCUGACUGGAGCCGUGCUUAUGCGUCCAGAGUCCUUCGGGACACUCAGGUGUCAUAUCUCAUAAGAUCGCGCUGAAGGAAGUCCGGGCCGGAUGCGCUAAAACCUAACGGAAUCGCUGUAUUACAUGCCCUGUCGGUCGGGCGGUUUGCAGUUAAAUAUAAUCGACACGACUAAGCAUGUAGAGCCGAUGGCAGAGGGCUUGCGGACGCGGGUUCGAUUCCCGCCGCCUCCACCA